GGUUAAGCGACUAAGCGUACACGGUGGAUGCCCUGGCAGUCAGAGGCGAUGAAGGACGUGCUAAUCUGCGAUAAGCGUCGGUGAGGUGAUAUGAACCGUUAUAACCGGCGAUUUCCGAAUGGGGAAACCCAGUGUGUUUCGACACACUAUCAUUAACUGAAUCCAUAGGUUAAUGAGGCGAACCGGGGGAACUGAAACAUCUAAGUACCCCGAGGAAAAGAAAUCAACCGAGAUUCCCCCAGUAGCGGCGAGCGAACGGGGAGGAGCCCAGAGCCUGAAUCAGUGUGUGUGUUAGUGGAAGCGUCUGGAAAGGCGCGCGAUACAGGGUGACAGCCCCGUACACAAAAAUGCACAUAUUGUGAGCUCGAUGAGUAGGGCGGGACACGUGGUAUCCUGUCUGAAUAUGGGGGGACCAUCCUCCAAGGCUAAAUACUCCUGACUGACCGAUAGUGAACCAGUACCGUGAGGGAAAGGCGAAAAGAACCCCGGCGAGGGGAGUGAAAAAGAACCUGAAACCGUGUACGUACAAGCAGUGGGAGCCUCUUUUAUGGGGUGACUGCGUACCUUUUGUAUAAUGGGUCAGCGACUUAUAUUCUGUAGCAAGGUUAACCGAAUAGGGGAGCCGAAGGGAAACCGAGUCUUAACUGGGCGUUAAGUUGCAGGGUAUAGACCCGAAACCCGGUGAUCUAGCCAUGGGCAGGUUGAAGGUUGGGUAACACUAACUGGAGGACCGAACCGACUAAUGUUGAAAAAUUAGCGGAUGACUUGUGGCUGGGGGUGAAAGGCCAAUCAAACCGGGAGAUAGCUGGUUCUCCCCGAAAGCUAUUUAGGUAGCGCCUCGUGAAUUCAUCUCCGGGGGUAGAGCACUGUUUCGGCAAGGGGGUCAUCCCGACUUACCAACCCGAUGCAAACUGCGAAUACCGGAGAAUGUUAUCACGGGAGACACACGGCGGGUGCUAACGUCCGUCGUGAAGAGGGAAACAACCCAGACCGCCAGCUAAGGUCCCAAAGUCAUGGUUAAGUGGGAAACGAUGUGGGAAGGCCCAGACAGCCAGGAUGUUGGCUUAGAAGCAGCCAUCAUUUAAAGAAAGCGUAAUAGCUCACUGGUCGAGUCGGCCUGCGCGGAAGAUGUAACGGGGCUAAACCAUGCACCGAAGCUGCGGCAGCGACGCUUAUGCGUUGUUGGGUAGGGGAGCGUUCUGUAAGCCUGUGAAGGUGGCCUGUGAGGGUUGCUGGAGGUAUCAGAAGUGCGAAUGCUGACAUAAGUAACGAUAAAGCGGGUGAAAAGCCCGCUCGCCGGAAGACCAAGGGUUCCUGUCCAACGUUAAUCGGGGCAGGGUGAGUCGACCCCUAAGGCGAGGCCGAAAGGCGUAGUCGAUGGGAAACAGGUUAAUAUUCCUGUACUUGGUGUUACUGCGAAGGGGGGACGGAGAAGGCUAUGUUGGCCGGGCGACGGUUGUCCCGGUUUAAGCGUGUAGGCUGGUUUUCCAGGCAAAUCCGGAAAACCAAGGCUGAGGCGUGAUGACGAGGCACUACGGUGCUGAAGCGACAAAUGCCCUGCUUCCAGGAAAAGCCUCUAAGCAUCAGGUAACAUCAAAUCGUACCCCAAACCGACACAGGUGGUCAGGUAGAGAAUACCAAGGCGCUUGAGAGAACUCGGGUGAAGGAACUAGGCAAAAUGGUGCCGUAACUUCGGGAGAAGGCACGCUGAUAUGUAGGUGAAGCGACUUGCUCGUGGAGCUGAAAUCAGUCGAAGAUACCAGCUGGCUGCAACUGUUUAUUAAAAACACAGCACUGUGCAAACACGAAAGUGGACGUAUACGGUGUGACGCCUGCCCGGUGCCGGAAG
rnacentral:rRNA from 1 species